UCUCACCUCUCACCUCACUCUCUCAGAAAAAAUACUCCCGCUCUGCAGAAAAACUUUCCCGCCAUUAAAGCACUCUUCCGUCGUUGAAGCAAGUUAGGUGAACCGGCAGCUUCCGAGGACGGAUUCGAGAAAGGUGAAUGAUAUCUUUGGAUUGAGUGGAAGAUUCAAUCUGAGAUUUCAUAAGGAGUUACUGCGACUGCUAUUGCUACUCAGGAAUCAUAAUAUAGGGUAAUCAAAUAUGUCUUCUACCAUUGAUAAGGAGUGGAUGAGUUGUACCUGUAAUUCUGGUAAAUACAUACAAGGUGUAAGCUCAUUCAUAGAGUUUGUCCGUAAAAAUGGUGGUGACAGUAUGGUGUUCUCCUGUCCUUGUAAACGCUGUAAGAAUGGUAGAGGAAUGUUUCCACUUAAAGAAAUCAAUUAUCAUUUGCUUAAGAAUGGUAUUGUCCCAACGUAUACAAUGUGGCGUUUUCAUGGUGAAAGAUCAGUUAGGGCAGUUACUGAGAAUGUGGGAAAUAUGGCAGAGAAUGUAGAAAAUGUAGAUGAGAAUGUAGGAGAUGUUGGUGAGAAUGUUGGUGAGAGUGCUGAUCCUAGUGUAGGUGAGAAUGUUGAUCCUAGUGUACAUGAGAAUGCUAGGCCACACAGUGGGGUUCACAAUGAUGUUGGCGCUAGCAGCAGCAACAAAAGGUCUUUUUAUGAGCGUACAAGAGAACCUUUGUACCCAUCAUGUCCUAAAGAGAAGGCUGCACUAUAUGCUGCUAUAAAAUUGAAUAACAUAAAGACCCAAUAUGGAUUUUCAGACAAUGGUGUCACUUCACUAUUAGAAUUAAUGAAGGAGUUGCUUCCGGAAGAUAACAUACUGCCGUCUAAGUAUCAUGAUGUAAAAAAGAUGAUCCAAGAACUGGGAUGGAUUGCAUAACCUAUGAUGCUUGCGUUAAUGACAACAUUUUAUACUGGAAAAAACAUGCAUCACUGGUAAAGUGUCCUGUUUGUCAAGAAUCUAGGUAUAAGAAGGUAUUCAAUUAUGAGAGGAAACUUACGCCAGUUGCUCAAAAGACUUUGAGACAUUUUUCGUUGAUUAAGAGGUUGCAAAGGUUUUACAGCAUUCCGUGGAUAGCAGAGGCAUUUUAUUGGCAUCAUAGAGCAAACUCAGAUAUGAAUGUUCUGCGCCAUCCAGUAGAUUCUCCAGCUUGGCAAUGUGCAGAUAACUUUUCUUCGGAGUUUGCUAAGGAGCCAAGGAAUGUGACACUUGGGAUUUCGACAGAUGGCUACAAUCCGAAUGAGUGUUUCGGGCUUAGUCACAGAUGUUGGCCGGUUAUUUUAUGUCCGUACAACCUUCCUCCAUCGAUGUGUAUGAAGCGAGAGUUCUCGAUGUUGUGUUUGUUGAUUUCAGGACCAAGAGCACCUGGUAAAGACAUUGAUGUGUAUUUACAUCCAUUGAUAGAUGAGUUGUUGCAGUUAUGAAAUCAAGGUGUUAUAACGUAUGACUCUUACACUAAAACUGAAUUUUUGAUGAAAGCAAGACUGUUAUGGGUUGUUCAUGAUUUUCUGGCAUUAGGAACUUUAGCUGGGUGUGUUACACAUGGAUAUAACGCUUUUCCAACAUGCGGAGAAGGGAUAGUUUCUGAAUAUCUAUCGUAUAGUAAGAAGAUUUGUUACAUGGGACACCGAAGGUGGCUGCCAGCGAAGCACAAGUAUCGAUAUGAUAGAACACAUUUCAUUGGAGGGGUAGAUCAUGGUUCAGCUCCAUCGCCACUAACAGGGCUGCAAAUUCAGGAGAUGGUAGCAAAUAUUAGAACCAAAAAGGGUAAGGGCAAGCCGCCAUCAGAAGCAAGUCUGAAACGUAAAAGGAAAGCUGGGGUCGAGAAUGAAGAUGUUGCUGGUGUAGAAGAUCAGGUUCAUGACCACUCACUAUUCUAUAGAAGAUCUAUUCUUCAUGAUUUGCCAUAUUGGGGUUCGAAUGCAGUCCGGCAUGUUACAUACGUUAUGCAUACAGAGAAGAACAUCACUGAGCAUCUCAUUAACACUGUUAUGGGUAAUAACAAGUCAAAAGACAAUCCUAGUGCACGUAAAGACAUGGAAACCAUGGAGAUUAACAAGAAGUUAUGGUUGAAAGUGGAUGAAGUGACCGGAAAAACGACAAUGGAAGAUGGUACUUUUGCCAUGACAAAGAAGGAGAAAGUUGCGUUUUGUACUGUUUUGAAGAACUUAAAAGUUCCUUCUGGUUUCUCUUCCAAUCUCCGCAGCCGUGUCAGCGUCGAUCCUCCCGAGCUAAAGAAGUUCAAAUCCCAUGAUUACCAUGUUGUCAUGCAACAUUUGUUUCCUUUGCUGGUUCACACGGGCGACUUCACUACCUAAAGAUCUACGAGUUGCUCUUCAUCGGAUAGGUCUAUUUUUUCAGAAUUUUGUGCGCGAAGGUUAUUAACAGAGAACAUCUUUUAAGAGAAAAAGCUAGUCUGGUGGAAGCUGUGUGUUAUGGAAAAGCAUUUUCCUCCUUUUUUCGUUAUCAGUAUACACUUGAUGGUGCAUCUGGCUGAUGAAGCUCUAGUCUGCGGUCCGGUCAGAUAUAGGUGGAUGUACCCCUUAGAGAGGUUAAUGAAAGGUUUCAAAGGUUUGGUACGCAAUAAAAGGUAUAUUGAUGGCUGCAUUGCAAGAGGGUAUACAUUGCGUGAAGCCAGCUUAUACUCUAUGGAGGACCUGUCAACUGAUGGUGAUGGUACUCAUAAACAUAUCCGACAAGCCUUUUUAGAUGAUGAUGAUGAGUUUGCCGAUGAGAUGCCUUUGAGUAAAGCUAAGUAUAUAAAAUUAACUCAAGUACAGUUUGAGAAAGCUCGCAGGUGGGUUCUGUCUAAGUAUGUUGGAAUACAGGACUGGCAAAGUUGUUAGAAGCCAAAGUUGGAUAUUCUGUACUUUGGCGCCUAGUGCAUGGACCUCAGUUCAAGGCACAAUCAUAUAAGAAAUACCAAGUAAAUGGAUUUACUUUCUCUGCACAUAGGUACGAGGAGGGGACGGUAUCACAAAACAGUGGUGUGUCUAUCCGAGCAUUUACGAGGCAAAAAGAUUCGGUGGAAACAGAAAUUAUAUACUACGGAGUUAUUAAAUUAAAUUAUAUGGAAUUUGAAGAAACAAUUUAUUAUUGUGAUUGGGUCAGAGUUCAAAAUAGGACUAAUGGGUGCAAAGUUGAUCCUAACUAAAACUUGAUAAAAGUUAACUUGUCUAAGCUUCAAAGCAUCAAUCAAGUUGUGGAUGAGCCAUUUAUUCUUGCCUCUGAAGCGACACAAGUGUUUUACUCGGAGGAUAUUUCUGAUGAGGGAUGGUCUAUGGUCUUGCAUUCACAGCAAGGCUUAAAUUCCUUAGUGGAUGAAACUGAAUAUCCUACUAUAUAUCAGUCAGAUUUUACUGACAAUGAGAGUUUAGAAAAAUUUAUGUGUGUCAGCUCUGGAGUUUAAAAUGAUGUAUGCUGUCAAUGCAAUGUGUGAAAUUACUACAACUUCUGUUAAAAUUUGUUUUAUCAUUUAUGCAAACUUAAUAGGUUCUGUUUUG